rnacentral:rRNA from 1 species
GAUGAACGCUAGCGGCAGGCUUAACACAUGCAAGUCGAGGGGCAGCGUGAUGAAGUAGCAAUACUGAUUUGACGGCGACCGGCGCACGGGUGCGUAACGCGUAUGCAACCUACCCAUAACAGGGGGAUAACACUGAGAAAUUGGUACUAAUACCCCAUAACAGUUUAAAAGGCAUCUUUUAGAUUUGAAAGUUCCGGCGGUUAAAGAUGGACAUGCGUUGUAUUAGCUAGGUGGUGAGGUAACGGCUCACCAUGGCGACGAUACAUAGGGGGACUGAGACGUUAACCCCCCACACUGGUACUGAGACACGGACCAGACUCCUACGGGAGGCAGCAGUGAGGAAUAUUGGUCAAUGGACGCAAGUCUGAACCAGCCAUGCCGCGUGCAGGAAGACGGCUCUAUGAGUUGUAAACUGCUUCUGUACAAGGGUAAACCUCGGUACGUGUACCGAGCUGAAAGUACUGUACGAAUAAGGAUCGGCUAACUCCGUGCCAGCCGCCGCCGUAACAC